rnacentral:lncRNA from 1 species
GACUAGUAGGAGAAGUCAUACAGAUGUGCCAGAGAGCCAGCGACUGAGAGCUGCCCAAAAGAACCGGGGACAAAGAUAACACGAGUGUCCUUGGAGACAGAGCUGUUUUUGAGAAGGGCUCCAUCGCCCAGGCUUCCCAUAAGGCUCCCAUGUGUGGGGAGAGAUGGCCAGUUUGCAGGAGUGGGAGGGAGGGCUAAGAGAGGUACAGCUGGAGGAGGCUCCACGGAAAGACUGUGGAAAUGUGGAAAGCAGGGAAAUGAAGAGGGACACGUCACUCGCAAACUGAAAUGCAGAGGGGGUGGUAAGGGGAAGAAAGGAGCAGGGAGGCAGAGAUUUGGAAGCUUCAUCACGGAAGAACUGGCCUCAAGAGCAAAGGAAAGAGUUUCCAUCCAAGGAUGUGAGAGAGCUGUCCCUGCUUGUCCAUCUGUGUUCUACCCUGAGAGUACUUUCCAGUGCAAUUCUGCAAAAGGGCAGAAGACAUAUUUGAAUUGGCUGGGCAUCUGGUUCCUGUUACAGAUGACUCCACAGACUUUUUCAGCUAGGAAUUUGUUAGUGAAUAUCCAUUUGCUGUCUACAAUUCCACCUAAGAGAGGGAAGAUUGCUCAUUUUCUGUGUGCCUGAGAGACAGGGAUAAGUCAAGAUCCUACAACAGCCAUCAUGGUGACUCUUCCUCUUUUCCUCCUCUUCAUCCUUUUGCCCUGCAGUAAAUCUCAGGACUUCCUGGACCAGCACCAGAAAUGGAACUACAGAGAAGGCGGUAGGAGAUCACAAUGGUGGUUCAGCAUGGGAGGUGUUCAGUAACUCAUUAUUUUGUCCUUGGAAUGAGAUAGACAGUGCUCAUUCAUGACUGCUCUUUUUUGAUUCCUGGGUAGCUGCUGGAGACUUCUGGAGAAAAAAAUACUUUUAGAAAUAAUCAGCUGGGGUAUCCAGUGACAUCAGAAAACCUGGGCACAUGGAGGCAGAGAAUUACACUGUGAGGGAGAGUUGCCCGCUUUUUAAUUUAUAUCCUUCAUGUGCUUAGUAUUUGGCAUUUCAUUGUGACUGAGUUUGUGAUGGGGAAUGGAAUCAAACUUGGAGCACUGGCUUGUAUUUCCUUGUGCUGACACAUUUGUUUUCCUCUCUUCCAUGAAUAUCCUGCUAACCUAGCUGACAAGGUUAACAUAGAAGGUGUUUACAGCAUUACUCAAACCCUCGAGAAAUGGGGAAAUGACAUCUUC